rnacentral:rRNA from 1 species
GAUGAACGCUAGCUACAGGCCUAACACAUGCAAGUCGAGGGGAAACGGCAGCUUAGCUCGCUAAGCUGGACGUCGACCGGCGCACGGGUGAGUAACGCGUAUCCAACCUGCCCCACGGUGAGGGAUAACCCGCGGAAACGCGGCCUAAAUACCUCAUGGUCUCCGAGCUUGACAUCAAUCUUGGAGUAAAGAUUCAUUGCCGUGGGAUGGGGAUGCGUCUGAUUAGCUUGUUGGCGGGGUAACGGCCCACCAAGGCGACGAUCAGUAGGGGUUCUGAGAGGAAGGUCCCCCANAUUGGAACUGAGACACGGUCCAAAACUCCUACGGGAGGCAGCAGUGAGGAAUAUUGGUCAAUGGGCGAGAGCCUGAACCAGCCAAGUAGCGUGCAGGAUGACGGCCCUAUGGGUUGUAAACUGCUUUUAUAAGGGAAUAAAGUUAGUCUCGUGAGACUUUUUGCAUGUACCUUAUGAAUAAGGACCGGCUAAUCCGUG